rnacentral:rRNA from 1 species
AACGUAGGAGACGAGCGUUAUCCGGAUUUACUGGGCGUAAAGAGCGUGUAGGAGGCAAUGCAAGUUGGAUGUAAAAUCUCCCGGCUUAACUGGGAGGCGUCGUUCAAAACUGCAUAGCUUGAGUAGUGUAGAGGUAAUCGGAACUCCGGGAGUAGCGGUGAAAUGCGUAGAUAUCCGGAAGAACACCAGAGGCGAAAGCGGAUUACUGGACACCAACUGACACUGAGACGCGAAAGCCAGGGUAGCAAAC